rnacentral:tRNA from 1 species
GUCCCCUUCGUCUAGCGGUCAGGACAUCACCCUCUCACGGUGGAAACACGGGUUCGAUUCCCGUAGGGGAUGCCA